CAGCCGCCACGGUAAUACGAAGGGGGCUAGCGUUGUUCGGAUUUACUGGGCGUAAAGCGCACGUAGGCGGAUCGAUCAGUCAGGGGUGAAAUCCCAGAGCUCAACUCUGGAACUGCCUUUGAUACCGUCGAUCUGGAGUAUGGAAGAGGUGAGUGGAAUUCCGAGUGUAGAGGUGAAAUUCGUAGAUAUUCGGAGGAACACCAGUGGCGAAGGCGGCUCACUGGUCCAUUACUGACGCUGAGGUGCGAAAGCGUGGGGAGCAAACAGGAUUAGAGACCCCGUAGUCCCUGUCUCUUAUACA
rnacentral:rRNA from 1 species